rnacentral:rRNA from 1 species
AUGCAUUGGUUUGCUUGGUGGGAACUUUGUGUGUCGAAGGACAAAGGUGGUAAGGGAUUUAUAGAUUGUAAAUGUUUCAACAAAGCUAUGUUGGCAAAGCACGUGUGGAGAUUGAUUUUAGAACCAGAUAGUCUAUGUUCUCGAGUUCUUAGGAGUAGAUAUUAUCCGUAUGGGCAAAUUUUAAAUGCAAAGCUGAAUCCUGGUUGGUCAUUUACGUGGCAAAGCAUUAUGGUAUGUGAAAGUGCAAUUAUCCCCGGGUGGUUUUGGUAA